AAAUCGAUCAAAUAUAAAGUUUAAUAUGGAUUCUGUUAUAGACAUAAUAUAUUUAUACAUUGAGCGUUUGUCUUCAUUUAAAGAGUGGAAGUAUGAUAAAAGUAGAAAAAGAAACACUUAUAUAUUAUAUAUGCGGAAGAGAGAAUGAAUGCAAGGAGCACCAAACAAAGUGAUUUUUUUUUCUGUCUUUACUUUAUUCCAAUUUCCUCAAUAUUUAAUCUAAAUAUUAUGGCUGUUUUUCAAUAAGAUACAUAAAUAACAGCUAAUUUAUAUCUAUAGAUUUUUCAUAAUAUACAUAUAAAUAGUUUUCCCAUAAUUCUUAAGUAACUAUAUGUAUAUUUUCAACUUUUAUCUAGAAAUUCACUUAAAAAAAAGGCAUUAUUUAUUUUGUCACCGCUUUUCCGCGAUGCUGAUUGGUUGUUGGUCAAGUUUGUACUAUGUGACUUGCUUCACACUGUCGUCUGCUGCUGUCUAACUUUUGACAAUUCAUCGCAUUGGACAAAAACUUUUAACAGUUCCCAGUAUUUGAAAAUCUCAAUUUGAUUGAGAAAGAGAAAGAGAGCCAGUUUUUGAGAAACGAAAGAAAUUUUAUAGAGAAAGAAAAAGAUUAGUGUGAGAGUUAAGUGUAAAAGAAAGAAAGAAGUUUAACCGAAAAGAAAUAAUUAAAUAAAGAGUUGGAAAAAGAGAAAGCGAGAAAUUACGUUUGGCAAGUAAUUAGAAGGAGAUACAGCGAGUGAGAAAGAAAGUUUUAGAGAAGAAAUAAAGAAAAAUAACAGUGAUAGAGAAGAGGGAGGGAGAGA